rnacentral:rRNA from 1 species
GUUAGUAACGCGUGGGAACGUGCCCUUCUCUAAGGAAUAGCCACUGGAAACGGUGAGUAAUACCUUAUACGCCCUUCGGGGGAAAGAUUUAUCGGAGAAGGAUCGGCCCGCGUUAGAUUAGGUAGUUGGUGGGGUAAUGGCCUACCAAGCCUACGAUCUAUAGCUGGUUUUAGAGGAUGAUCAGCAACACUGGGACUGAGACACGGCCCAGACUCCUACGGGAGGCAGCAGUGGGGAAUCUUGGACAAUGGGCGCAAGCCUGAUCCAGCCAUGCCGCGUGAGUGAUGAAGGCCUUAGGGUCGUAAAGCUCUUUCGCCAGGGAUGAUAAUGACAGUACCUGGUAAAGAAACCCCGGCUAACUCCGUGCCAGCAGCCGCGGUAAUACGGAGGGGGUUAGCGUUGUUCGGAAUUACUGGGCGUAAAGCGCGCGUAGGCGGAUCAGAAAGUUGGGGGUGAAAUCCCGGGGCUCAACCCCGGAACUGCCUCCAAAACUCCUGGUCU